UCACCAAACCAUUGACCGGUACGGGCCAUGAGAGUGGUAGCCCGGAGAUGGACACUGAGACAAGGGUCCAGGCCCUACGGGGCGCAGCAGGCGCGAAACCUCCUCAAUGCACUAACGUGCGAAGGGGUUACCUCGAGUGCUAUCUGAAGAAGGUGGCUUUUCCUUGGUCUAAAAAGCCUUGGGAAUAAGAGGGGGGCAAGACUGGUGUCAGCCGCCGCGGUAACACCAGCCCCUCGAGUGGUGGGGAUGAUUAUUUGGCCUAAAGCGUCCGUAGCCGGCCGGAUAAGUUUCCCGUUAAAUCUAACGUCUCAAGCGUUGGACUGCGGGAAAUACUGUCUGGCUAGAGAGUGGGAGAGGUCUGCGGUAUUCUGGGGGUAGGGGCGAAAUCCUUUGAUCCCCGGAGGACCACCAGUGGCGAAGGCUGCAGACUAGAACACGUCUGACGGUCAGGGACGAAAGCUGGGGUAGCGAACCGGAUUAGAUACCCGGGUAGUCCCAGCCGUAAACGAUGCAUGCUAGGUGUUGGGUUGGCCACGAGCCACCCCAGUGCCGCAGGGAAGCCGUUAAGCAUGCCGCCUGGGAAGUACGGUCGCAAGAUUGAAACUUAAAGGAAUUGGCGGGGGAGCACAAGGGCGAAUCGCGCCGCUUUG
rnacentral:rRNA from 1 species